UUGGGUGUGCUGCCUUGUUUCAGGGGCUCAGAAGCACAAGGAGCGCAGAGGCAGGCGUGUGGCCGUGUUCCCUAAGAGCCCUUGGCCUGGCACAGCCCCACGGGCUGCAGGGUAGACAGGCCUGAGCUUGGACCUGAGCCCAGCCUGCCUUCUCUUCCUUGCAGUUCUUUCCGCACAAACCUAACUAGACCUCCAGUGACACCAGCUUGGGUCAAGCCACUACCUUUGCUCCAGGUCGGAGCCUUGUGAUUGCCACCCACCUCUCACUGCCAUGUGAAUGGGCCGCUCAAAGGUGGCAGGUCCCUGACAUAUGUGGCCAUGGUGCUCCAUGGUGCAGUUGUAGGAGGACCUGUGACCCUGCCACCUGCCUCCCACUCCUCCCUUUAUGUACCUGAGCUGCCUGUGCCAGCCUAGAAUGCCACUCGCCCCCAUGCCUAGCAUGGCUCCCGGCACAGACAGGACACCUGCAGAUGAGUGCUGAAUGAAGAGACCUCCGAGGAUGCUUGGUGACAUGGGGCUUUGGAGCCUGGUCUGGCACUUGGCACUAAGCCAUGUGUUACAAAUCGAUUCAUUUAAUUAAUCUCCACAACUACCCUAGGAGGAAGGCACAGAGAAAGUAGGU
rnacentral:lncRNA from 1 species